AAUCACUGGGCGUAAAGAGCGCGUAGGCGGGAUAGUCAGUCAGGUGUGAAAUCCUAUGGCUUAACCAUAGAACUGAAUUUGAAACUACUAUUCUAGAGUGUGGGAGAGGUAGGUGGAAUUCUUGGUGUAGGGGUAAAUUCCGUAGAGAUCAAGAGGAAUACUCAUUGCCAAGGCGACCUGCUGGAACAUUACUGACGCUGAUUGCCCGAAAGCGUGGGGAGCAAACAGGAUUAGAUACCCUGGUAGUCUACGCCCUAAACGAUGGAUGCUAGUUGUUGGAGGGCGUAGUCUCUCCGGUAAUGCAGCUAACGCAUUAAGCAUCCCGCCUGGGGAGUACGGUCGCAAGAUUAAAACUCAAAGGAAUAGACGGGGACCCGCACAAGCGGUGGAGCAUGUGGUUUAA
rnacentral:rRNA from 1 species